rnacentral:rRNA from 1 species
UACGUAGGUGGCGAGCGUUGUCCGGAUUUACUGGGCGUAAAGCGCGCGCAGGCGGUUCUGUAAGUCCUGGGUGAAAUCGCCCGGCUCAACUGGGCGGGGGCCUGGGGGACUGCGGGACUGGAGGGGCCUAGAGGCCGGUGGAACUCCCAGUGUAGUGGUGAAAUGCGUAGAGAUCGGGAAGAACACCAGUGGCGAAGGCGGCUCACUGGCCCGGUACUGACGCUGAGGUGCGAAAGCGUGGGGAGCAAACAGG